rnacentral:lncRNA from 1 species
CAGCCGACUCCGGCUCGUCAUGUGCUUCCUCAUGUGAUGUAGGUCUGCGGCACUGUGGAGCAAUCGCAUUUGAGACUCGGCACUCGUGGACAGACGGGCGUUCAGGGACUGGGGAGUUUUUGGAGGGGGGUGGGGAGGCCAAUAAACCAAGAAAACGUCAGAAAUAAAAGUCGCAUCAAACUGUCUUCUUCACCGCUCCCGGGCUGCACCACUGUGGGCACAUCAAGCUUCGUCUGGCUCACCUGCAUGGUUCCGGCUGAUUCCUGCCUGAGAUGGCCCAUCGUACAACUAGGAUCCCAGAAUCUCCUGUCUGCACUCUGCGGAAGAAGGACCUAUUUCAGUCUCUGGCCAGGGUCUCUCACAGCCGAUGGGGUCUUGGAAGACAGGGUGAAGUUGCAGAAGACUGGGGUGGGAUGCGAAGGCAUGCGAAGGACUUGGAAAGGGAAUUUAGGAAUACUAUACAUCAGUGCCCACCGAUGAUAUGCAUACAGGGCGAGGGCAGCCACCGCCCCUGCCUCACGCACCUAACCCCGGCUGCUCGCUGGGAUUGUCUGAGGGGGACAACCCAGGUCUGGAUGUGGUGGCAUUUUUUCAGAGAGUGGAACUGAAGAUGGAUGAAGCAGGUACUUGCUGUGUCUGCUUGGCAGGGCAGAGCUGGAGAAAUGGAAGGGGAAAAGAAGAGAUGCUGACUGUCGUAAGAUUGUCUGCUGCCAGCUCCGCAGUCUUAAUCUAAGGAAGGAUGGCAUAGUGGAUCUGCCAGCACGUGCAUGGAGGAACUGUAAAUUGCAGUGUGGAUGUCCCUGCCCAUUCAAAUGAGGAAGAGCAAACAGUUUUGUACCAGUGUGACUUCUCUUGACCUGUUCUCCACCGCAGAAGGAUUUGGGGCUGGAGGUUGGUGGUCCUGCCUUUAGAGAACCUGAAAUGUACUUUGUCAGGAAACCCAACACUGGAGACCCAGAAAUCAUGAAAUUAAAAUGUUUUCAUGAAAGUGAAUAAUACAGACUCCUUCCAACAACUAAAGAAGAUGGAUGAGUGUGAGAAGUCAGGACUGCAUUACCCCAACAUGGGAGAGUUGGGAGCUAUUCAUUGAGCUUAAGAACUAGAGGAGACCAUGGAAAGCAUGCCAAGACCUUUUUAUGAUGCCAGUUUGGAAGGCUGAACCAUCAUACUAUUCUUCAAGGGAAUAAUAACUCCAGCUUAAUAUCUGUAUAUCUCUGUAGGCAGGUUCAUGAAAUUCAGUUCCCAUUAGAGCAUUCAGGGAAGUCCUCUGGGUCUCCUCACAUAUUCACACUGCAAGGCAGUUACAGGAAUCAGGCCCAUGCAUCCACAGGUCAUCAUUUCAGCCACGCCAACUAAAUGCAGCAUGCAGCACAGCGACAUCAGAGAUGUACCUAGAAAAGUAGUUCCCAGGAGAGGUAUUGCGGGAUCCUCCAGUAGAACUACGUCCAAUACCUCUCCUGGGCAUAUAUCCAGAAGAUGUUCCAACUGGUAAGAAAGACACAUGCUCCACUAUGUUCAUAGCAGCCUUAUUUAUAAUAGCCAGAAGCUGGAAAGAACCCAGAUGCCCCUCAACAGAGGAAUGGAUACAGAAAAUGUGGUACAUUUACACAAUGGAGUACUACUCAGCUAUUAAAAAGAAUGAAUUUGUGAAAUUCCUAGGCAAAUGGAUUAACCUGGAGGGCAUCAUCCUGACUGAGGUAACCCAAUCACAAAAGAACUCACAUGACAUGUACUCACUGAUAAGUGGAUAUUAGCCCAGAAACUUAGAAUACCCAAGAUACAAGAUACAAGAUACAAAGCACAUGAAACGCAAGAAGAACGAAGAGCAAAGUGUGGGCAGUUUGCUCCUUCUUAGAAUUGGGAACAAAACACCCAUGGAAGGAGUUACAGAGACAAAGUUUGGAGCUGAGACUCCAAACGCAGACACCAUUGCACACACUAGCAAGAUUUUGCUGAAAGGACCCUGAUAUAGCUGUCUCUUGUGAGACUAUGCCGGGGCCUAGCAAACACAGAAGUGGAUGCUCACCUUCAGCUAUUGGAUGGAUCACAGAGCCCCCAAUGGAGGAGCUAGAGAAAGUACCCAAGGAGCUGAAAAGGUCUGCAACCCUAUAGGUGGAACAACAAUAUGAACUAACCAGUACCCCCUAGAGCUCUCUAGCUGCAUAUGUAGCAGAAGAUGGCCUAGUCAGCCGUCAGUGGAAAGAGAGGCCCAUUGGUCUUGCAAACUUUAUAUGCCCCAGUACAGGGGAACGCCAGGGCCAAGAAGUGGGAGUGGGUGGGUAGGGGAGUGGAGGGGGAGGGUAUGGGGGACUUUUGGGAUAGCAUUGGAAAUGUAAAUGAGGAAAAUACCUAAUAAAAAUAUUUAAAAAAGAAAAGAAAAGUAGUUCCAAAUCUGCCACAAAGACAUUGCUCUCCAGCCGUCCCGUGUUGUUUGAUUAACUGUAGUAUUGUCUCUUUGCACAUAUCAGCAAAGCUUCAUCCUCUGACCUCACUGAGCUGCCAUGUAAAAGACAAAUCAUUGUUAGUCUAACCAAGGUGGUGAGAAAGUUGGGCAUGCAGGGGUGUGCUAGUCUGCUUUUGGCACUGUGACAAAUAACCCGAGGGUGAAAACAUUACAAAGAUUUGUUUUAGUUUACGGUUGCAUAUGCUUUGGUCCAUCAUAGUGGGAAGGGUAUAGUGGAAUAGAGUAAGUCACAUCAUGGUGACCAUGGAACAGAGACAAUGUCUGAGCUUGCAAUGUCUCUUUCUUCUUCUGCCUUGAUUUUAUUCAGACCUCAAGCUUAUGGGGUAUUUCAAUUCACAUUCAGGGACCCCAUAUGCCCAAAUGAAUCUUCCUGGGAAUUGUCCUCAUAAAUACAAAUAGAAGUAUACUUUACUGAUUCUUUAGGUGUCGCUAAAGCCAAUCAAAUUAACAGGUUUAGUCAUGACUAGGGAAAGUAACAUCAGAAAAGCAACUCAGAGGUGAGAGUCUAACAAAGAUGAAGGAAAGAAUUAAAUAAAUAAAACCCCCUAAUAUUAUCACACGUACAAAAGAGAGAGUUGUGGUCAAGAGAAGACUAUACUGAAGAGUUUUACCACCUAUGGGAGGCCUACAGAGUCAUACAAUUAGGUUAUCUCUCUUUACAUUUAGAAAACCAAGACAAUAAUAACUUCCUUGGUUAUAAUGCUACCUCACAGCAUUGUAAUAAGGAACUAUUUAAAACAAGAAUAUUUUGUAUUUGAAGUUGUACAGAAUUGUGAGGCAUCAUUCAGUUGAAUGUUUAUAACAGUGAUAGUUUUUAAGAAUUAUUUUAAAAACAUUCAUCUCUGCAGGAGUCCACAGAGAUAUUAUAAUAAAUUUGCAAAGGGUUUAUAUUGUAGUCACAGUACAACAUAGAUAAUAUGGUGAAUAAUUUAAGUGGUAGAAUCAUCUAUGUGGUAAAUAUUGCAUAAAUAAAAUUUACUUAGCACAUUAUUGAGGAUUUUGCUUGUGAUAGAGGGUUGACUAAAGAUUAGGCAAAAUACAGACAUGAAAAGCUUCAUGGUAGAACUCAGAGUUCACCAAUAGGAAAGUGUUGGGCCUGAUGGGCAUUUUCCCUCCAUCAUUUUAUUACCAGAAGUUCCUUUGCAAAUAUUGGCAAAGUGACUUCUACAAACAUAUGCCUACAUCAAUUUAUUUAUGUUUUAUUCUUUCACCAUUUCACAUAUGUGAAUUUUAGUAAUUUUCAUGUCUAUUAUCCUCUCUCACUCCUCCCCUUCUUCCCAGGAAGUCCCCUCCUAUUUUCAUGCCUUUUUAUUUAUGUGGCCACUGAGUUUAAUUCUGGGUUGUUUUGGUAAGUGGUUGUUUGGUUAGGAGUGUGUUGACUUAUAUUUUUCAAAACCUAUUUUAAUAAGCAUACUUAAAUAUUUUAACCUCCCUUCUAGUUCACCAGACAUUAGAGGUAAAGGAAAGGAAAGGUUAAUAGGGCCAAGGGGGAUGUGGACAUGUUUAGAUAUAGUUCUUUGGGGAA